UUUAAACCAACUGUGAAAUCCUCUAACCAGUUACAAGCUCUUGCUUCUCUUCCUCCAUAAAACUCCUCCUCUUUCUAUCUCUUGCACUGGUCAGUGAAUGAAUGAGCUGACAGUCUCAUCUCUCUAUCCAAAUUCCUGUCAAAUCUAUAAUUACCCAUAAAAUCCUCGCCGAUACUUCCAAAAAAAAAAAAAAAAAAAUAUAUAUA
rnacentral:lncRNA from 1 species